UACGAAGGGGGCUAGCGUUGCUCGGAAUCACUGGGCGUAAAGGGUGCGUAGGCGGGUCUUUAAGUCAGGGGUGAAAUCCUGGAGCUCAACUCCAGAACUGCCUUUGAUACUGAGGAUCUUGAGUCCGGGAGAGGUGAGUGGAACUGCGAGCGUAGAGGUGAAAUUCGUAGAUAUUCGCAAGAACACCAGUGGCGAAGGCGGCUCACUGGCCCGGUACUGACGCUGAGGCACGAAAGCGUGGGGAGCAAACAGGG
rnacentral:rRNA from 1 species